ACAAACUAUGAACCACAAUAUGCAGCAAGGAAAUGACAUAAUUUAUUGAUUAUGGUAACAUCUCAUUACAUUUUUUUUUAAUCAAACUUAUUAUAUGACUAAAUUUUCAUGUUGCACAGCUUGGAGCAGCCUUUCACACACUUCUUCACAGCCUCCGGAUCUGCAACAGCAAAGAAACAUAUAUGAAGAAAAAAAAAAAAAGUAGAGUCCAUAAAUUAAAGUAUAUAAAAGAUGCUUGCAAAUUUAAGGAUCAUAAUUAUUUGUUUAUACCCGAGCCAAUUUCAGCACACUUAAACUUUGAACAAGUGUAAGUGCAAUUGCAGAGAUUAUCAGGGAUUGAUUUUAAGUUCUUGCAUUUGCCAAUGCACAAUGUGGCACACCAAAGUGGCCGAGGGACGUUGCAUUUUGGGUAGCAAUUCGCCAAGCAAGUGUCGAGCUUAAUAUGAUGCUGACCGUGCCCUUCAGCUGCGGCAGGCAGCAGCAGCAGAAACAACACCACCAUUGAUGUUAUCAGAAGCCGAAGACCAGUGAUUCCUUUUCCUUCCAUUGCUGCUGUCUAAUUAGAUAAUUU
rnacentral:lncRNA from 1 species